rnacentral:rRNA from 1 species
GGAAUAUUGGUCAAUGGGCGGAAGCCUGAACCAGCCAAGUAGCGUGCAGGAUGACGGCCCUAUGGGUUGUAAACUGCUUUUAUGCGGGAAUAAAGAGGCUCACGUGUGGGCUGUUGCAUGUACCGCAUGAAUAAGGACCGGCUAAUUCCGUGCCAGCAGCCGCGGUAAUACGGAAGGUCCGGGCGUUAUCCGGAUUUAUUGGGUUUAAAGGGAGCGCAGGCCGACUGGUAAGCGUGACGUGAAAUGUAGCCGCUCAACGGCUGAACUGCGUCGCGAACUGUCAGUCUUGAGUGAGUUCGAUGUUGGCGGAAUUCGUGGUGUAGCGGUGAAAUGCUUAGAUAUCACGAAGAACUCCGAUUGCGAAGGCAGCCAACAAGGCCUUUACUGACGCUAAAGCUCGAAGGUGCGGGUAUCGAACA